UGCAGUCGUACGAGAGUUUUAACUCAAGUGGCGGACGGGUGAGUAACACGUAAGAAUUUACCUUUAGGAGGGGGAUAACAACUGGAAACGGUUGCUAAUACCCCAUAUGCUUUCGAGUGAAAUGGAUUUUUCCGCCUAGAGAGAAGCUUGCGGCUGAUUAGCUUGUUGGUGAGGUAAUGGCUCACCAAGGCGACGAUCAGUAUCUGGUUUGAGAGGACGAUCAGACACACUGGAACUGAGACACGGUCCAGACUCCUACGGGAGGCAGCAGUGGGGAAUUUUCCGCAAUGGGCGAAAGCCUGACGGAGCAAUACCGCGUGAGGGAUGACGGCCUAUGGGUUGUAAACCUCUUUUUUCAGGGAGGAAUAAAUGACGUGUACCUGAAGAAUAAGCAUCGGCUAACUCCGUGCCAGCAGCCGCGGUAAGACGGAGGAUGCAAGUGUUAUCCGGAAUCACUGGGCGUAAAGCGUCUGUAGGUGGUUUAGUAAGUCAACUGUUAAAUCUUGAGGCUUAACCUCAAAAUCGCAGUCGAAACUACUAGACUAGAGUAUAGUAGGGGUAAAGGGAAUUUCCAGUGGAGCGGUGAAAUGCGUAGAGAUUGGAAAGAACACCAAUGGCGAAGGCACUUUACUGGGCUAUUACUAACACUCAGAGACGAAAGCUAGGGUAGCAAAUGGGAUUAGAUACCCUGGUAGUCC
rnacentral:rRNA from 1 species